GUAAGGAAUAUUGGUCAAUGGGGGCAACCCUGACCCAGCCAUGCCGCGUGAAGGAUGAAGGCGUUAUGCGUUGUAAACUUCUUUUGUAUGGGAAGAAUGACAGGGAUUUAUCCUUGGAGAGACGGUACCAUACGAAUAAGCACCGGCUAACUCCGUGCCAGCAGCCGCGGUAAUACGGUGGGUGCAAGCGUUAUCCGGAAUCACUGGGUUUAAAGGGUACGUAGGCGGUUAAUUAAGUCAGUAGUGAAAGACUGUCGCUCAACGACGGAUGUGCAAUUGAUACUGGUUAACUUGAAUCAGGAUAGAGAUGGCGGAAUGGGUCAUGUAGCGGUGAAAUGCGUAGAUAUGACGUGGAACACCGAUAGCGAAGGCAGCUGACUGAGCCGUGAUUGACGCUGAGGUACGAAAGUGUGGGGAGCAAACAGGAUUAGAAACCCGAGUAGUCC
rnacentral:rRNA from 1 species